GCAAUGUACAUGCACAACCUCAAAUCGCAAAAUAUUCGAUACAGCCCAUACUGGUCUAUUAUAAGUGAAGCUCUCCCAUACAAUGCAAAUAUCGGUCUGUGGAGAAUAAACAAGAUCCUGGCCAGACAUGUGUGCAAUACAGGUUUGAUUCCAAAUCAAACAAUGUUCCUGUUUGUAACCAAAGCCAGACUAAACAUUUAUCGUUAAUGAAACUUGAUAUUAUACAUACCUUUUUGAGUCAUUUCUUUUAGUAAUGGCUCGAACUGAAGAGCAUCAUUGUGACUUGGGUUAUAAAUAAGAACUGAUAAGAAAAUAAAAAGUUGAAAUGAGGAAA